rnacentral:rRNA from 1 species
AGCAGCCGCGGUAAUUCCAGCUCCAAUAGCGUAUAUUAAAGUUGUUGCAGUUAAAAAGCUCGUAGUUGAACUUCGGGGUCUACCCAUUGGUCAGGCUUAAUUGUCUGCACUGGUGAGAUGGAUCUCUACCUUCUGAGGAACUUUCAUGCCAUUUAUUUGGUGUGAUUGGAAAUCAGGACUGUUACUUUGAAAAAAUUAGAGUGUUUAAAGCAGACUAUCGUCUGAAUACAUUAGCAUGGAAUAAUGAAAUAGGGACGGACUGAUUCUAUUUCGUUGGUUUCUAGGAUCACCGUAAUGAUUAAUAGGGAUAGUUGGGGGCAUUAGUAUUCAAUUGUCAGAGGUGAAAUUCUUGGAUUUAUUGAAGACUAACUACUGCGAAAGCAUUUGCCAAGGAUGUUUUCAUUAAUCAAGAACGAAAGUUAGGGGAUCGAAGACGAUCAGAUACCGUCGUAGUCUUAACCAUAAACUAUGCCGACUAGGGAUCGGACGAAGUUAAUUUUAUAAUGACGCGUUCGGCACC